AUAAACCCAAAUGUUAAACUUCAGUUUCGUAAAUUAGUUACCUUCAAUUGCUUCCUUUUUGCUGGAUAAUCAGAUUUUCUUCAGAUUGUUGAAAGGAAGAAGACGAAGACGACAGUUUGUAUUUUUUUAUAUUUUUUUUUCUUGGUUACGUUUUUGUUGUCUUUUCACGGUUCCCUUCCUUUUUUGUUUUUGGGUUAUAGUGAAUUUUUGGGCUUUAGUGUUUUUUGGGCUUUUAGUGUUUUUUUACUAAAACAGUUUGUUUUUCUAAAUAACAGGCCUAGGCCCAAUUAGUAAUAGAUACAGUGUUUAACAUUACUGUAACUUUUUCAACGGUUGAUAUUCUCUUUUAAAAACGGUUGUAAAUCAUUUUAAAAACGGUUGUAGAUCUUUUCAAAGUGACUGACCCUAAUUCGGUGAAGAUGUCAGCAGCCAAUCCCUGUUUAAUUUGUUUUUAGGUUAUAGUGAAUUUUUGGGCUUUAGUGUUUUUGGGGCUUUUAGUUUUUUUUAAACUAAAACAGUUUGUUUUUCUAAAUAACAGGCCUAGGCCCAACUAGUAACAAAUACAGUGUUUAACAUUACUGUAACUUUUUCAACGGUUGAAAUUUUCUUUUAAAAACGGUUGUAAAUCAUUUUAAAAACGGUUGUAAAUCUUUUCAUAAUAACAGUUACUGCAGCUUUUUCAACACUUUUAAAACGCUUUUAAAACAGCUUAUAAAUCGUUUGUAAAUCUCUUUUAAAAACGGUUGUAAAUCAUUUUAAAAACGAUUGUAAAUUUUUUUCAUAAUAACCGCUACUGCAGCUUUUUCAACACUUUUAAAAUCCUUAUAAAGCAGCUUGUAAAUCGUUUAAAAACCCUGUUUAAAAGCAUGUUUAAAGUCCUUUUCCAUUCAAAUCAAAGCACCUGUUAACCCAAACAACCAUUAUACAGUAAUUUUGUAAAACAGGAGUUGAACUAAAUAAACUUCAUAAAUCUUGUUCCAUACAGAUGUUCAUGAAAUAUUCAAAUGACAAAGUUUUAUGAAAU
rnacentral:sRNA from 1 species